AUGUCGUGGCUGAGACUCAAACCCAGGGUGGCGAUAAGAAAAUCAGACCUACAAUCAAACAAAAACCCUUUGCCUUCUGAGAAGUUUCAGGCAGGAGCAGAGAGAGUGUUUUAA
rnacentral:lncRNA from 1 species